rnacentral:RNase_P_RNA from 1 species
GAGAGUAGAUGAGGUAGUUGCGAGUUCGUAAUCUUGACCAAGAUAGCGAGUUCGAGGAAAGUCCGGGCUCCCGAAAGACCAAACUUGCUGGGUAACGCCCAGUGCGGGUGACCGUGAGGAUAGUGCCACAGAAAAAUACCGCCUCUAAAUAUUAUAGAGGUAAGGGUGCAAAGGUGGGGUAAGAGCCCACCAGCGAUAUCGAGAGGUAUCGGCUCGGUAAACCCCGGUUGGGAGCAAGGUCGGAGGGUCAAGGGUUGGUCUUUUUCCUGUCCCGAUUUAGGAGAACCGCUUGAGACAUUUGGUAACAGAUGUCCUAGAUAGAUAACUACCCUCUCAAGUGAUCACUUGGAGAACAGAACCCGGCUUACGCUCUACUCUUUUUC